AAAAAAUAUUAAAAUAUAAAAGAUUAUUAUAUUAUAUCUAAAUAAUUUCAUUUCAAAAAAUUCGGUCAAAAAAAAUGAAUUUCGCUUAUUAUAUUCUAACUUGUAUUAUGGCUCUAUUAUUAAUUCCCAUGUUAAAAGGCAAGGAGAAUGAAAACGACGAUCGUUCUUUCGAAGAGGAACAAGAAAACUUGAAUUAUGGUGAUGAUGAGUUCAGUUGAGAGGAAAACGACGAAUUUUAGGAUUGGACAGAUGUUAUCAUACAAAAUUUUAUUUUAAACGCCAUUUUAUAGAAAAAUAGAUUUUUUUUUAAAAAGACACUAUUAUUUGUGUAUUUAUAUAAUAUAUAUAUUCGGUGCUGUACUUAGUAUACCUAGCCCUAUAAUGUUUUAUUACAUAUUCAGUACUG